rnacentral:SRP_RNA from 1 species
UCGGCGCUCCUCGUCCGUGGCACGAGAAGCCCGCGGCCCUCGGGGUCGGAGCGGAGGGGGGCGGAGCCCGCGGCUGUAGGGAAGUGAUUUAGACCGCGGCCCUCGGGGUCGCGGCGGGCCA